rnacentral:lncRNA from 1 species
GUAUAUGUGGUCUGCCAUUGGCUGAAGCAUCAUUAUUUGGUGCAUGACUGUAGAACUUUAAGCAAUGAUGAAAAUGCUCUAUAUCCACACUAUCCAAUAUGAUACCACCCACAUAAACAAAAACUUUUUGGGAGUCCUCCAGAAUUUUUAAGAGUUAUCUAAACUAUUGCCUUUAAUGACCAGGAACUCCAAUUUGAGAAGUUACCCUACGUUAAGCCAACAGCAGCCUGGCUCCUUCAUCCUGUGCAGUAUGGGACAGAGCUGGGUCCUUGUUGUCAUCAGCCAGACAAGCACACAUUAAAGCCCACCUUAGCCAUUGGCAUUACAGCUUUAAAAGCAGCUCCAUCCUACCAUGCUGUCACUCUACUCAAUCACGUGAUCUUAACGACCAGCUCUACAUAUCCUCUCUCCAUGCCCCCACCACCAUCCCCCACCAACAAAUCCGGUAAUCUAUCUCUGUCAAUAGUCCUGCAGUGAAUUCCGAAUAAGUUUUUCUCUUCCCUGGCCUGCCGUUUACGUAGUACCCUGGAUGAAUCUAUACUUACUCCAUAGUAAGUAGUACCUUGGAUGAAUCUAUACUUGCAUCCAAUGGAAAUGAGAGUGAUGGUGCAGAGUUAUCCGAAGUAACUCCAGCUAUGUUGUGGAUCUUCUAAUCAUGGGCUCAUCUAAGCCUUCCCAGAUAUCACUCUAGUUUUUACAAUCUUUGUUUAUGACAAUUAGGGCUGUAACAUUGGCUGUAGACAUUUGUUGCAUCAAGGAACUCAGCUUCCACUGAAGUUCUGAAGUUAAUCAGUUUCUGAUCUUGUUCUGCAACUCUCUGCAAGAAGAAAAAUCACCAGGAAAUAGUGCAUCCUGAAAGGAGUCAAAGUUUCCUUAUCCAGCUGGAGCAGUGUGAUCUCGGACCAGAGUCAAUUCCUUGCCCAACAGACUUCACAUUGAGCCAUGAGAAGCAGCCUACUUACCCUUACCUGGACACUUCUCCAAAACCUGUGAAAUGGCCUCUGUCACUGCCUCAAAGCCUCAUCCUUGGUGGGCAACUCACCUGGAUCCUGAGACCAAAAUAUAGAGCUUAAUGAACUGCU